CUGUGAACCGGUGCAACUUUCCAGAGUGAAAUCUUUUUAAGAAACUCUUCAGUUGGCUUGUGACAAUGUCACCACCUACGAGUUCUCAAGUGAAGGAGAUACCGGAUUGCCGGCAGUUUGCGAACACAACAACAACAGCAGCGAAAACAACGUCAAAACCAUUUGUUGCCAACCCAGUCUUGCACUUUUUUUGCGAUUUCUUUAAACUCGCGAGUUUGGUCACAGGAUUCUUUGGAACAUGGAUAAUUUAUUUCAAUAAACAAUUUUGGAAAAACAAGCACAUCACUCUUUGUAGUAUUUGUGCUAUUAUUACCUAUUGCCUGGUGUUCGUGGCGUCGGUGGCAGCAUUUAUACAAAUUAAGAGGAUUGAAAUUCUGGACAUUCAUUUAUUGAAAUUGGCUUACGAAAAAAGACAAAAAAAUAAAAUAUUCCUAAACCAGAAGAGAGCGAGUAUGAAACGAGGUAAAAGCAAACCAAAAAAUUUUCCCAACAAGAAAUAAAUAUCUGUAUUUUUAAUAAAGUAAUUCGAAUACGACUAAACACUAA